GCCUUCGUGGUGCAACGGUCAGCACACUCGGCCCGUAAUCGAGAGGUCUGAGGUUCGAGUCCCGGCGAAGGCA
rfam:Stegodyphus mimosarum contig116945, whole genome shotgun sequence.